rnacentral:lncRNA from 1 species
UUUCUUUUUUUUUCCUCUUAUUCUUCUUCUCCUUCUUCUUCUUUUCUUCUUGUCUUCUUCUUCUUAUUCUUCUUCUUCUUCUUCUUCUUCUUCUUAUUCUUAUUCUUAUUUUCCUUUUUCUUUUUUCCUCUUAUUCUUCUUCUCCUUCUUCUUGUUUUCUUCUUCUCUUCUUCUUCUUCUUCUUCUUAUUAUUAUUAUUAUUAUUUUCUUUUUUCCUCUUAUUCUUCUCUUCCUC